AUUGAACGCUGGCGGCAUGCUUUACACAUGCAAGUCGAGCGGCAGCGCGGGGGCAACCCUGGCGGCGAGCGGCGAACGGGUGAGUAAUGCAUCGGAACGUAUCCUCGAGUGGGGGAUAACCCAGCGAAAGUUGGGCUAAUACCGCAUGAGCUCUGAGGAGGAAAGCGGGGGACCUGCGAGGGCCUCGCGCUGGAGGAGCGGCCGAUGUCCGAUUAGCUAGUUGGUGGGGUAAAGGCUUACCAAGGCGACGAUCGGUAGCUGGUCUGAGAGGAUGAUCAGCCACACUGGGACUGAGACACGGCCCAGACUCCUACGGGAGGCAGCAGUGGGGAAUUUUGGACAAUGGGGGCAACCCUGAUCCAGUCAUGCCGCGUGAGUGAAGAAGGCCUUCGGGUUGUAAAGCUCUUUCGGACGGAACGAAAUGGGCGGGACUAAUACUCCUGUCUGAUGACGGUACCGUAAGAAGAAGCACCGGCUAACUACGUG
rnacentral:rRNA from 1 species